rnacentral:rRNA from 1 species
UCGCCUGUUUUUCAAAAACAUCUUUUCUUGUUAGUUUUUGAAGUAUGGCCUGCCCACUGACUAUUGUUGAAGGGCCGCGGUAUUUUGACCGUGCAAAGGUAGCAUAAUCAUUAGUUCUUUAAUUGUGAUCUGGUAUGAAUGGCUUGACGAGACAUAAGCUGUCUUAGAGGUAUUGUUUAUUGAAUUUGGUUUUUGAGUUAAAAUUCUUAAAUGUUUUUAUGGGACGAGAAGACCCUAUAGAGUUUAACAAUUUUCUUAUUUGUUUAUUGUUUGUUUUAGUUUUAUUAAGUAGGAAAUAUUGUUUUGUUGGGGUGAUGGGAGGAAGUAUAUUUAACUCCUCUUUGUUUUUGUAUAUUUAUUUAUUUUUCUUUGAUCCAUUUAUUUUGAAUACAAA